rnacentral:rRNA from 1 species
UACGUAGGGUGCGAGCGUUAAUCGGAAUUACUGGGCGUAAAGUGUGCGCAGGCGGCGUUGCAAGUCGAGUGUGAAAUCCCCGAGCUUAACUUGGGAAUUGCGCUCGAAACUACGAUGCUCGAGUGUGGCAGAGGAAGGUGGAAUUCCACGUGUAGCGGUGAAAUGCGUAGAGAUGUGGAGGAAUACCGGUGGCGAAGGCGGCAUCCUGGACCGGCAUUGACGCUGAGGAGCGAAAGCCAGGGGAGCAAACGGG